UGGCGAACGGGUGAGUAAUAUAUCGGGACGUACCCUGGAGUGGGGGAUAACGUAGCGAAAGUUACGCUAAUACCGCAUACGAUCUAAGGAUGAAAGUGGGGGAUCGCAAGACCUCAUGCUCGUGGAGCGGCCGAUAUCUGAUUAGCUAGUUGGUAGGGUAAAAGCCUACCAAGGCAUCGAUCAGUAGCUGGUCUGAGAGGACGACCAGCCACACUGGAACUGAGACACGGUCCAGACUCCUACGGGAGGCAGCAGUGGGGAAUUUUGGACAAUGGGCGAAAGCCUGAUCCAGCAAUGCCGCGUGAGUGAAGAAGGCCUUCGGGUUGUAAAGCUCUUUUGUCAGGGAAGAAACGGUGAAAGCUAAUAUCUUUUGCUAAUGACGGUACCUGAAGAAUAAGCACCGGCUAACUACGUGCCAGCAGCCGCGGUAAUACGUAGGGUGCAAGCGUUAAUCGGAAUUACUGGGCGUAAAGCGUGCGCAGGCGGUUUUGUAAGUCUGAUAUGAAAUCCCCGGGCUCAACCUGGGAAUUGCAUUGGAGACUGCAAGGCUAGAAUCUGGCAGAGGGGGGUAGAAUUCCACGUGUAGCAGUGAAAUGCGUAGAUAUGUGGAGGAACACCGAUGGCGAAGGCAGCCCCCUGGGUCAAGAUUGACGCUCAUGCACG
rnacentral:rRNA from 1 species